CCAAUCCGAACAAAAACUCCCGAAUUGUGUCCUAACACAAAUGGACAAACUGUUCUCAUUCUGUUAAGACGCAAUUCAGUAGUUUCGCUGGCGUUCGAACACCGAAUGAAGCAGCAGGAGGAAGGUGAGUAUUGUGGGAAAAUUGCUCUAGAAAAAACUAGAGCAGACAGGAAGAAAUGAAAAACGGAUCCUGAGAGAAGAGGAAGCGAUUGAGGAAAGGAAAGUCCGCAUGACAGUGCCGCUUUAAGUCUCUUGUGCAAGGAGAUUGAGGUUUUUUUGUUUCUCCUCAGUGCUGUGGGGGUUAAUUCUCCUACAGCACGGAGUCUAUUAAAUGAAAAAACUGAAACGAAAAGGUAAUGCAUUCAGCAUUUGCCCUUUCAUUUUGUAU